rnacentral:rRNA from 1 species
CCUACGGGAGGCAGCAGUGGGGAAUCUUGCGCAAUGGGCGAAAGCCUGACGCAGCCAUGCCGCGUGGAUGAUGAAGGUCUUAGGAUUGUAAAAUCCUUUCACCGGUGAAGAUAAUGACUGUAGCCGGAGAAGAAGCCCCGGCUAACUUCGUGCCAGCAGCCGCGGUAAUACGAAGGGGGCUAGCGUUGCUCGGAAUUACUGGGCGUAAAGGGAGCGUAGGCGGACAUUUAAGUCAGAGGUGAAAUCCCGGAGCUUAACUUCGGAACUGCCUUUGAUACUGGGUGUCUUGAGUGUGAGAGAGGUAUGUGGAACUCCGAGUGUAGAGGUGAAAUUCGUAGAUAUUCGGAAGAACACCAGUGGCGAAGGCGACAUACUGGCUCAUUACUGACGCUGAGGCUCGAAAGCGUGGGGAGCAAACAGGAUUAGAUACCCUGGUAGUCCACGCCGUAAACGAUGAUUGCUAGUUGUCGGGAAGCUUGCUUCUCGGUGACGCAGCUAACGCAUUAAGCAAUCCGCCUGGGGAGUACGGUCGCAGAUUAAACUCAAAGGAUUGACG